rnacentral:rRNA from 1 species
UACGGGGGGUGCAAGCGUUGUUCGGAAUCAUUGGGCGUAAAGCGCGUGUAGGCGGCUUGACAAGUCAGAUGUGAAAUCCCCGGGCUUAACUCGGGAAGUGCAUUUGAAACUGUCUGGCUAGAGUAAGGGAGAGGAAAGUGGAAUUCCUGGUGUAGAGGUGAAAUUCGUAGAUAUCAGGAGGAACACCGGUGGCGAAGGCGACUUUCUGGCCCUAUACUGACGCUGAGACGCGAAAGCGUGGGUAGCAAACAGG